GCGGGCGGCGGGCGGCGGAGGCGCGGGGCCUGCUCCCGCCGGCAACAUGGCCAAGACCGUGGCCUAUUUCUACGACCCCGACGUGGGCAACUUCCACUACGGAGCUGGACACCCUAUGAAGCCCCAUCGCCUGGCAUUGACCCAUAGCCUGGUCCUGCAUUACGGUCUCUAUAAGAAGAUGAUCGUGAGUUCCGCCGCCUCGGCCGGGGGUUGGGGGGUGGGGCGAGCUGUGGCCGUAGGGAUAGGUGGGCUGGACUGAGUGCAUGAAGUGCGACCCGCCCCUAGAGUAGUGGGGAGCUGAGUAGAAGACGCCAGGAGUACCUUGAAAGUGCAGGGUGUUAGGGGUGGCGUCCUCUGCUUAAUGGAAAGUACUUUCUCACCUCAGGUCAUCCACCCUCUGACUAUAGGCACACUAGCCCUUGGCCUAGGGUUAGGGUGAUGUGGGGCUGGUUUGAAGACAGAAGGUGUGUUCCUCCUCUGCAUUUGAGUGUGGAUAGGGCCUUGGCCUCAGGAAUUAGGGUUAGGGGAGCGGAUAUCACUGUAUCAGGGUGUGAGGUUUACCCUCAGUUCCCACUCCUCUUUUACCACCUUUCUUUACCUCCAAGGAGCUAGGGUUCCAGGGUGGAACGAUGCUGCCGUGUUUGUAAAUGUGUAUGUGCGUGUGGAACAGAGGAGAUAUCUUAGGUAAUCCUUUUUCAGCCUGGAAUACCUCUACAUGGUUCUGCUUAAUCGCUAUCCAGUUUUUCAUCUACCAGACAUACACAUGCUGUCUUCCCAGCUUGGAAUUUAUGGCUGUGAUAUGGGAUAGUAACAGUUAAGCC
rnacentral:sRNA from 1 species